GCCGGUGACCUGGGGUCAAGAGUUCCAGCGAAAACAGAAUUACAUCUUCGAGCUUCAGUGGGGGGAUCGAGGCAGGGCGUAUGUCUCGUGGGCCGGAGAUACCCUCAGGUUGCCCGAGGGAAGUACAGUCGGGAAUCCCACAAUUCAAAUCAACGGUCUCUAUGGUAACAAGCUGGGGCUGUGCCACGGGGAGGAGGUUUUGUUAAAGCCAGUCCCAAAGGUCCUUCCUGCAGCGGG